ACUCCUGCGGGAGGCAGCAGUGGGGAAUAUUGGACAAUGGGCGCAAGCCUGAUCCAGCCAUGCCGCGUGAGUGAUGAAGGCCCUAGGGUUGUAAAGCUCUUUCACCGGUGAAGAUAAUGACGGUAACCGGAGAAGAAGCCCCGGCUAACUUCGUGCCAGCAGCCGCGGUAAUACGAAGGGGGCUAGCGUUGUUCGGAUUUACUGGGCGUAAAGCGCACGUAGGCGGACUAUUAAGUCAGGGGUGAAAUCCCGGGGCUCAACCCCGGAACUGCCUUUGAUACUGGUAGUCUUGAGUUCGAGAGAGGUGAGUAGAAUUCCGAGUGUAGAGGUGAAAUUCGUAGAUAUUCGGAGGAACACCAGUGGCGAAGGCGGCUCACUGGCUCGAUACUGACGCUGAGGUGCGAAAGCGUGGGGAGCAAACAGGAUUAGAUACCCCUGUAGUCCCA
rnacentral:rRNA from 1 species